AGAGUUUGAUCAUGGCUCAGAACGAACGCUAGCGGCGUGCCUAACACAUGCAAGUCGAGCGAGAAAGGGAGCAAUCCUAAGUAAAGCGGCGCACGGGUGAGUAACACGUGGGUAACGUACCCUUGGGUGGGGAAUAACGAGUCGAAAGGCUCGCUAAUACCGCAUCAGACCACGUCCUUCGCGGAGGAUGAGGCCAAAGGGGCCUAUCGUAAGGUAGGUCCCGCCUGAGGAUCGGCUCGCGUACCAUUAGCUAGAUGGCGGGGUAAUGGCCCACCAUGGCUACGAUGGUUAGCUGGUCUGAGAGGACGACCAGCCACACUGGAACUGAAACACGGUCCAGACUCCUACGGGAGGCAGCAGUGGGGAAUAUUGCGCAAUGGGCGAAAGCCUGACGCAGCAACGCCGCGUGAGUGAAGAAGGCCUUCGGGUUGUAAAGCUCUGUCAGAGGGAAAGAAUAUUGCUGGCAACACCAGCAUUUGACGGUACCCUCGAAGGAAGCACUGGCUAACUCCGUGCCAGCAGCCGCGGUAAUACGGAGAGUGCAAGCGUUGUUCGGAAUUAUUGGGCGUAAAGCGCGUGUAGGUGGCUUGAUAAGUCUGAUGUGAAAGCCCAGGGCUCAACCCUGGAAGUGCAUUGGAAACUAUCGAGCUUGAGUACUGGAGGGGGAAGUGGAAUUCUCGAGUGUAGAGGUGAAAUUCGUAGAUAUUCGGAAGAACAUCAGUGGCGAAGGCGACUUCCUGGACAGAUACUGACACUGAGACGCGAAAGCGUGGGUAGCAAACAGGAUUAGAUACCCUAGUAGUCC
rnacentral:rRNA from 1 species